CCUUAUGUGACAAUACUCUCCUAUUCACAAAUUUUUUGGAGAGAUGAAGUGUGCACAGUCUUCUAGCCAAUUCUUCUAAUCGGUGCGAAAGUUUCAUUUCGAAAUGUGACAACUUUGUUUAAAAAUUACGGUGCGUUUCCUGCUUGCCUGCCAACACUGGAGCGGUCAUUUUUGCAAUAUGGUUUCCGCUGUGUCAAUCAGCAAACAACCCCAGCUUUGGCCUGAAUUUUGCACUUAUCCGUCUUCCGCCAAGUAAAUAGUAAGGUGUUGUGGAUGUUGGUUCUUAUUGUGAGAUCAUUACAUAGAUUAUUGGCUAUCGCGCUCUAUAAAUAUGAAGUUCCGGUCGACACAUCGCGGCCUCAUUUCACACCACGUGUUGAGCUUGCAGGUGCAAGAUGGAAGGUUCGGAGCCAUGGAUGCGUUUUAGCGGAUGGUAUCGCACGGAGACUUGAACGCGAGGCGAGAAAAAUCACCCGUGAACUUGAUUCGAUGAACCGUGGCCGGCUCCGGGCUCGCGUGUUGGAGCAAGCUCAUUAUUUCAGAACACUCGCAAACGAUGCAUAACAAAUAAGGUAAUGUCUCCUCUCCUCAUUCCAUCCACCGCGAUUCCAUCGUGGGAGUCGCACUUUCGUAACUUUUAGGAUAAGCCUCGAGGACUUUAACCUUUAUCCCUUGCCUUUUUCAUUCGACUUGAAUAACUCAAUUAAAAGUAACCAAACAUAUUGAACGCACACUAAGGUUACGUGGUGAUUUACCUCCUAUAUUAACAAAAAAUGUCGUAUACUCCUAUCACCGGGUAUUGUAAAGUUCCUGAAAAAAAGUGCAGCUUUGCAUCAAUGAAUUUCACAUUGUGAGAGGAGAAACUCGUGACUCCCCUUAAAUUUGCCGGAGAAAAAACAGUCGGUAAAACUAAUUCCAAAUCUGUUAAGCUUUUGGAAUGUUACGGGUCAUUGUCCUGAUGUUUUUUUUUAAAAAAUAACCAAAAUAAGUGUAAAUUGCAAGAGAGUCUUGUUACCCUUGUAUCCAUGAUCGCCGAAGUUACAAUUAUUACAGCAAGUGUAAUUAUGAAACCUUCUUACAUGGAACCGCACUAUAGUAGAACAAUUAACUCAACAUUUGACAGCACUUGAAGUGCUUCCACGAUCAUUUUAACACUCGACGAAAGCGAACAAGGAUCUCCUUGCAAUUCGCUCCCAUAUUACUGCCAAUUUUAAAAAAAUCAAAUCACUGACAACAUGUUACGACUCCAUAACCAAGUCCUGAGAGCUUUUAUGAUCUGCAGCUGUUUUACGCUGGUGAACUUAGAAUUUUUAACCCCCCCCCCCCCACACACACACACACACCCUCUCACGAACAUGGAGGCGAAAUAACUGUUUUCACAUAAAGCAUUGUUGAAGACGUAAAUAAUUAUUUAAUUGAGGGGUUAAUUCGUUAUGCAGAGGUGCUUUAAUGCGAAAAGGAGUCCAAUCAAAAUUUUCGUUUGAGAGGUUAGACAACUUAUCUCUACAAAUACAAGAUCGACUUGAAAUGAUUCCAUUCACAUGCAUAAGGAAAAGUUGAUUUUAUUUUUACUCGGUUUUUCCAAAGAAUAUUCGUGGAACACAGGUGAACACCCCCUCCUUACUUACCCCCCAUUAAUAUGGAUCCUCUCACCCAUCUGAAAAGUCCUCAGACAGAGUGAUGAGUAUGUACCAACACGCUGCAAUACUUUACUGUGAGCAUUAGUUUGCCGAAAUUUUCAAGGAAAAAUUAUAUAUGCUAUGUUAACAUUUCACAUUUAACAUUAACAUUUAUACUUUACGGUUCUUAAUUAAUUAUCACAUAAACGUUCCAAAUGCAAAGAAUUAAAGCGAGGACAGUUUUUAAGUCCCGCUCUAAGAGUCCUUAAACAUAAACAUGUAUAAAUGAUCGGUUGUUUAGUUGGAUCUAAUGUGCAAUGAGGAACUACCAUUUCAUAUUCAUCCAUGAAAGUAUACACUUUAACACAGGAAAUAGAAAGGCACAAAUUUUGUUUUUAAAAUCAACCAAAAAUGGUAGUUCUUUAUCGCACAAUGUGGUCUAAUUGAUCUGUAGAAUGUAGUUUAAUUUAGAUGAAGCAGGUACCUUUUUCUUGAAACGUUAAAUCAGAGUAUCGCCGUGGUUCGCUCGUAUCAUCCAAAAAGGUUCCCAGAGCACUAAUUCGUUAUCACUGAAUAAUCCAAGCGAAACGCAACCCGCCAAACACAGAGCCAACCGGAGCUAUCACUAUCACUGUCGAAAACGGAAACGCGGGAAAUCCGAGCGGCGAAAGAAAAACCCGGGGCGGAAAUCAGUGGAAGCCGAAAACUCGCGGUGACGAACGCCGGCGCGGGGGUGGAUGGAAGGCGGGGGGCAACGGUAAAGCUCGGUUUCGGAACCAAAGUCGGGAGCGCGCGGAACUAAAAGUUUGCGGCGGCGGAGGAGCGACUGAGCUUGGGAGGCGAAAGAAAAAUCUGCCGGGCUCGGCGCCCCCCCCCCCCCCGCUGCCCCACGCCGCCGGACCGACCAUAGAGCCACCAUUCAAGCUGUCCCCGGACACCGCCGCCGCUGCGGCCCACGCUCACCUGUGACUCCGCUCGCCCUGUACUUUCCACCGUUGCCAACCGCCCAAAUCCGUCACUCGCCGUCAUCUGGGUUAUUGACCUGUGCACCGGAGAAAAUAAUUCAAUUUCGCAGGGGCAGAUUGGACCGGGUUU
rnacentral:lncRNA from 1 species